rnacentral:rRNA from 1 species
CCCUUAGAUGUUCUGGGCCGCACGCGCGCUACACUGAUGCAUUCAACGAGUUUCUUCCUGGUCCGAGAGGAAUGGGUAACCUUUUGAAAAUGCAUCGUGAUAGGGAUAGACUAUUGCAAUUAUUGGUCUUCAACGAGGAAUUCCUAGUAGACGUAGUUCAUCAGACUGCAUCGAUUACGUCCCUGCCCUUUGUACACACCGCCCGUCGCUCCUACCGAUUGAAUGCUCAGGUGAGCCAUUCGGACUUUCAUCAUGCUGGUUUCCAGUUUUGAUGAAGGAAAGUCUUGCGAACCUUAUCAUUUAGAGGAAGGAGAAGUCGUAACAA